AUUGAACGCUGGCGGCGUGCUUAACACAUGCAAGUCGAUCGGUAACGCGGGGGCAACCCUGGCGACGAGAGGCGGACGGGUGAGGAACGCUUGGGAAUCUGCCCUUCAGCGGGGGACAACACGGGGAAACUCGUGCUAAUACCGCAUACGCUCCACGGAGGAAAGCCGGGGACCGCAAGGCCUGGCACUGCAGGAUGAGCCCAAGUCGGAUUAGCUAGUUGGCGGGGUAACGGCCCACCAAGGCGACGAGCCGUAGCUGGUCUGAGAGGACGCUCAGCCCCGCUGGGACUGAGACGCGGCCGAGACCCCUACGGGAGGCAGCAGUGGGGAAGAUUGGACAAUUGGGGAAACCCUGAUCCAGCGCCGCCGCGUGGGGGAAGAAGGCCUUCGGGUUGUAAAGCCCUUUCGGUAGGGACGAAAGCUCUCGACCUAACACGUCGGGAGGUUGACUUAACCUACAAAAGAAGCACCGGCUAACUCUGUGCCAGCCGCCGCCGUAAUAC
rnacentral:rRNA from 1 species